AAUGAAAUAAAAAGUAUAGAGUUUGGUCGUUUCUUUUUUACUUUUCCAGCUUUUUUCUUUUUAUCU
rnacentral:ribozyme from 1 species